GGGGAUGAUCGGCAUAGACAAAGGAAUGAUCUGUUGCGUGCGCGGUGGAGCUCCAAUAACUCCUAAAACGGUUGGAAACCAUAACUGCCAAAAACGCAGUUGCAGAGGCAGUCGAGUCGCCGUACUUUACGGCUUCCGAUUUCGCCUUCGUUCGCGUCUAAACGCGUGAACUGUCCGACAGACUGAUUCCUGGGCGGUUUGUCCGGGCAUGAUAUUUUCAGGAUAGGAUAUAUUCCCUUCUCGGCUUAUAUCCGAACCAAAGAGAAUAGGUGUUUUCGUGUUCUGUUUGCCUUAUAGCGGCAACACCGAAAAACAAAAGACAAACUAUACCGUGUAGACUCUCUCCAUCUCACCCUUUGCACGCGAGUUCGAUUCUCGCCAUCUCCACAU
rnacentral:tmRNA from 1 species